UGGAGUAAANGGCUAUGGCUCAACCAUAGUGUGCUCUGGAAACUGUCUGACUNGAGUGCAGAAGGGGAGAGUGGAAUUCCAUGUGUAGCGGUGAAAUGCGUAGAUAUAUGGAGGAACACCAGUGGCGAAAGCGGCUCUCUGGUCUGUCACUGACGCUGAGGCUCGAAAGCGUGGGUAGCGAACAGGAUUAGAUACCCUGGUAGUNCACGCCGUAAACGAUGAGUGCUAGGUGUUAGGCCCUUUCCGGGGCUUAGUGCCGGAGCUAACGCAAUAAGCACUCCGCCUGGGGAGUACGACCGCAAGGUUGAAACUCAAAGGAAUUGACGGGGGCCCGCACAAGCGGUGGAGCAUGUGGUUUAAUUCGAAGCAACGCGAAGAACCUUACCAGGUCUUGACAUCCCGAUGCUAUUCUUAGAGAUAGGAAGUUACUUCGGUACAUCGGAGACAGGUGGUGCAUGGUUGUCGUCAGCUCGUGUCGUGAGAUGUUGGGUUAANNNNNNNNACGAGCGCAACCCUUAUUGUUAGUUGCCAUCAUUAAGUUGGGCACUCUAGCGAGACUGCCGGUAAUAAACCGGAGGAAGGUGGGGAUGACGUCAAAUCAUCAUGCCCCUUAUGACCUGGGCUACACACGUGCUACAAUGGUCGGUACAACGAGUUGCGAGCCGGUGACGGCAAGCUAAUCUCUGAAAGCCGAUCUCAGUUCGGAUUGGAGGCUGCAACUCGCCUCCAUGAAGUCGGAAUCGCUAGUAAUCGCGGAUCAGCACGCCGCGGUGAAUACGUUCCCGGGCCU
rnacentral:rRNA from 1 species